rnacentral:tRNA from 1 species
GCCUGGCUGGCUCAGUUGGUAGAGCAUGGGACUCUUGAUCUCGGGGGUGUGAGUUCAAGCCCCACAUUGGGUG